rnacentral:rRNA from 1 species
GAUGAACGCUGGCGGCGUGCUUAACACAUGCAAGUCGAACGGAGGAGCGAUUUCGGUUGCUCUUCAGUGGCGCACGGGUGAGUAACACGUAGCUGACCUGCCCUCAAGAGUGGGAUAACGGUUCGAAAGGACUGCUAAUACCGCAUAAGCUCACGUGCUUUAGAGGCGCGAGAGAAAAGGCGAAAGCCGCUAGAGGAGGGGGCUGCGGACCAUCAGCAGUUGGUGGGGUAAUGGCCUACCAAGGCGACGACGGGUAGGGGCCUGAGAGGGUGGUCCCCCACACU